UAGACCCAGGGGAAUGCUAACAGGUUGGGCUAUCAGGAAGGUUCUUUGAAUGUCGACACACAAAACAGUGCAUUAAGUAGCGCCAUAUCCCUUCCCUCUCCCUUCUUGCAAUAGAUAGCCCAACAUUUAUCCCCAACAAAAUUUCCAGAGGUCUCUUUAAGGAAAUUGAACAAACUACUUAUUGGAAGAAGCAAAGACUCUUUUGGAAGCUUUUGCCUAGAGAUAUGUGUUCCUCAUUUUGACCUGAGGAGGGACUCCAGUCUGUUCACCCCAGAGAUCCAGAAGUCCAUGGAGCUCUCCUCAGUAGCUGAUGUGCAGAGUGGAUCAAGUACCCCGGAGUCUCAGCCUCUCUACUUCAGCCUCAGCGGCACUGCUUUUUAUCGGUUUUACACCACUGGAUCUAUGUGAGAUUUUUGCUUAACAAAGAACUCCUAACUUGACAGAUAGAAAUUCAUUGGCACAUCAAGUAACUGCUAAGACUCAUCUCAAUGGUUGCAUUACAUGUUUUCCUGUACUUUUUCUUAUGAUACAGACCUUGGACUUGAACUGCAAACCCCGCUUGAGUAUUCACACCUUCAAAAUAGAUUGAAGAAAGUUUGAGAAGAAGUUUUCUUCAAAGAGAGAAAUUGUUUUUCUGGGAGUCCCAGCUCACUCUUCAGGGGAGAGGUUUGAAGUAUCACCUUCCACCCUAGGUAAAAUGAGACAGGCUCUAAGGACCUGCUUAGAGAGCUCUGAAAUGUAUUUUCUGACUUGUUCUGGUGCCUAACUUUGAUAAAUCUGAAGUCAACAAUAGACUUGGGUCUCACAUCCAAUCCAUUCCCUCAGGAAAAUUUAGAGGACAGAAAAAGGCUGACUAAACUCUCCAUGGUGGUCCUUAGAAGGGUAUUUUUUUUUUUAAUAUCGGUUGUAGUUGGACACAAUACCUUUAUUUUAUUUAUUGUUAUGUGGUGCUGAGGAUCAAACCCAGGGCCUCACACAUGCAAGGCGAGCGCUCUACCGCUGAGCCACAACCCUUAGAAGAGGGUUUUAACAACAAAUGUGAUGAGCCUGAUCUCCCAGGUUUGUCUAGGAUUGAGAGAAGUAUAGAGAAGAGCCAGGGUUUUGCUUUGUUUUGUUUGUUUUAGUUGUCAAUGAAUCUUUUGUUUUAUUUAUUUAUAUGCGGUGCUGAGGAUUUAACCCAAGACCUCACACAUGCCAGGCAAGCGCUCUACCACUGAGCCACAACUCCAGCCCCAGAGAAGAACCAGUUUUGUGUCCAAUAGGGACUUCAAGAAGAGGUCAAAGAGUUAGCACCUCAUGUCCAGAGAUUAAGAAAAGGAGUUAUAGGAGCUGGGAGUGUAGCUUAACGUAAAGUGCUUGCCUAGCAUGAGUGAGGCACUGGGUUCAAUCCUCAGCACUGCAUGAAAAAUGAAUAAAUAAAAUAAAGAUAUUGUGUUCAUAUACAACUAAAAACAAAAUUUAAAAAAAAGAAAAAGAAAGAAAGAAAAGGAGUCAUAGAAAAUCACUCAAAAGAAAGAAGCUUCUUCCUGGGUUAAAGAGAGGGAGGAAGAGAAUCCCAAUAGGGUACGUAUGAGAAGCCCACAAAGAGAGAGAAGAAUGGGCUGAUAGCCUAGCAAGCCAACCAGGGAUACCAGCUCCAACCACCCCCUGGGCCUAGACAGGAGCCACCCAGCCAAGGAGAACCUCCCUCACUAUACAGCUGUCUUCAUGCCUUCCUGAGCUUCCACUCCCUGGGGUAGGAAGCCCAGCUGGGAGCAGGGUGAGAAUGGGGAACUGAAGGACCACGCCCCUUGACCACUGAGGACUUCUGGGAAGAAAUAGGCCUAUCUGGGAUAGAAGGGGAAAUAAAAACAGCAGGCCCAUCUCAAGUUUUGAUAACACCAACCUGGACAUUCCCACUGUAAAGCAAAUCUCUGGUCUGACUUAAAGUAACUCUAGGGUUAUCUGUUACUUUAGAGUGGGUAGAAAAACCUUGGCUGGGUAGCUUCAACCAAAAUUAGGGAAAGAUGACUCCCCACUGAACAAAGCUUAAGGAAGCAGUAGGAGUUGUUAUGAUGACAACCCGCACAUCCUGCUGCUGCAGCCUGCCAGCCACAUUUGCUUGCCCAGCUGGUGUGACUUGUAACAACCGGCCUCAGAUCUCAUCCUGUGUGAAUGACAAGUGAUUGAAAUCAUUGCUUUUGCUUUUGGAUUUUCCCCAAAGAGAAAAAUGUCACCCAUGUGGUUUGGAGAGCAAGAACUUGGUCAAAUGCUAUGAACAGAACCAGGAUCAGUAGCCAGGUUGGUGAGGGGUAAGAGGUGGCCUAGGCCUGACAACGUUAUAUAUUUAUUUUAUUCUCUGCUAACAAAAACCAGCACAAAAUUUCAUUAAAGUCAUAAGUGACACACAUUUUUCUUUUUAAUGGCGGAGAAAGUUAGAUUCCCUCGGUUUCAAAAGGACACCAGAUUUCUUUUAUCCUUCUAAUAUUUGAUAAGAGAAGUUGUGACAGUGAGAACCAAUGGGGUUUGAGACUCCUUAGGAAAAGAAAUAGAGGUGGCAGAAUACAGCCCUGAGGAACUCUGACCAAGGCAGGAGCACAGGUAGGUGGUUGGGCAGAAGAAACAAAGAGAGAAGGCAGUGCAUCAGGAGGGGAAGGGAAGGAGAAGAGAAUCUCAAGAAGAGGUGAUGGUGGAGCAGAGUGUUCCUCAGGCUGCCUGCCACCUAGCUUCAGCAGCCCUUCCAGAGCAAAGGUACUUAUGUCCUGGAGGGUCCAUCGUAGGCUGUACCAUCCUGACUCUGCUCGAAGCCUUUGGUCUUUACCAUCCAGACUCGGAUCAUCUGUACCCAAGACAGAGAAACAGCAAUGCCCAGAAACUAAAUCACUUUCCUGAAACUGACAACGAGAUAAGCUCCAUUUCGGUAGCAAAAAGACAAAUGUUUUACACAGUCAAGUUAUCAAAGCACAUUAAAGGAUAGCUUUAAAUUUAUACAGGUACAUUUCUUGCUGAAGGUGUUAUUUAAUAAGGCCUAAAGUAAAAUUGAAAGCGGAAGCAUAGUGAGUUUUUUGAAGUAUUUAUAUUAUUAUGUUCCUGACUGAAGAGAUAAAUUUAGUAGUUGUUUCUCAGGUAACUAAACUUUGCUGUCUGACUUAGUUUUUUAUGUAUUUAAUUUGACUUUAAAUCUGAAUUCUGUGCAAAGUUCCAUAACUGCUUUAAAAUAUGGGCUUUAUUAGAGAUGUGAAAACUGAGAAUGCAGUCAUAUUUUCUUAUUAUUAACUCAUCACAUAAUACUAAGGCAGGGAAAGGAGACUUGGGACACUCAGAUACUCAAAUUGGGAAGAGUCAAAUCAAGUAACUAUGUCUUCUCAUGACCCUGAGAAUAAUUGUGGUUGUACAAAAAAAGAACUUGACCUCUUCACUCUCAACAUCCCUUGGUUUUAGAGAUGAAUAGCAUACUAUUUCAGUUCAAUAAAAAGUUUAGCUUUGUACUGGGGUUGUGGCUCAGUGGUAAAGUGCUUGCCUAGCAUGUGUGAAGCCCUGGGUUUGAUCCUCAGCACCACAUAUAAAUAAAUGCAUAAAAUAAAGGUCCAUCAACAACUAAAAAAUAUAUAUUAAAAAAAAAAGUUCAACUUUUGUAUACAGAUUUUUAGAGGUUUGUUUUGCUUUCUUGCCUACUGGUUCAUUGUGUUUUGUUUUGUUUUGUUUGUGGAAACAGGGGCUUGUUUUCAAAAACUGCAUUUAAAGAGAUAUCUUUAGACCAGAUUAGUAAAUGAAAGCUACACAUCUCCACUUUUAAGAAGAGAUUGGAUGUUUGAGGAAGCCAUGGUCAAUUCUCCAGGCUGACUCAGAUUCCAGAAAAUCAGAUUAAGUCAUCAUCAGUGCCACUCAUUGAUGACUAUUUCCUGAGUGAGAUAUACAUGUAUAAUCUAGGUAAGCAAAUAACUGCAAUACAAGGCAGAAUGAAAAACAAAAUCAAACGUACAACCAGAGACAUGAAAAAUUGUGUUCUAUAUGUGUACUAUGAAUUGAAAUGCAUUCUGCUGUCAUGUAUAAAAAAUUAGAGUAAAUAAAUAAAUUUUAAAAAGCAAAAAACCAAACAAACACAAAACCCCCACAGGUGUAAUGCAAAACGCUUAAAUCCUACAGGAGCCUCUGAUUUAAAGAUGAAGUAAAGCUAGGCACAGUAGUGCAUGCCUAUCAUCCCAGCAGUUCGACAGGCUAAGGCAGAGGAUCACUAAAGUUCAAAGCCAGCCUCAACAACUUAAUGAGUCCCUAAACAACUUAGCGAGACACUGGUUAGCUCAGUGGUUAAGCGCCCGUGGGUUCAAUCCCCAGUACCAAAAAAAAAAAAAAAUGAAGUAAAGAUAAAGUAAAAUACUCAGUCUCAUCAAUUACUUGAAACAAUAAAGAGAAGCAAAUAAACCUGUGUUUGUCUGGCUCUUUAGAGUAGCAGAUACUAAACUGGACUAAACAUACAAGAAUUUUAUGAGUGUAAAUGUCUGUGUAAGAGACCUAACUAAACAACAUGGGCACCUUCAAGCUUAAGACUGAUUUCCAUCCUUAGGUGCAACAAGAAUAACUGAAAUUUGUCCUUAUCCAUCCAAUGUUGAAAAUAACACCUACUAUAUAAGCUUAAAUGAGGGAAGGGAGGGACCUAGCACAUAGAGGGUGCCCUAUAAAUCCUAGUCUCUUCUUCCACAGGACCACGUGCUAGAACACAUGACUAGCUCUUUGCACUUAUCAAAGAGGAGCUGCUGAGGUCACUUUAGUGUCGUUUGGCCUGGAGCUCACACUGCAGUCAUGUGUCACUCCUCUGUGCAGCAGCUGGUUGCACACCCCUGUUGGAACCUGCCAACUGCAGAGGGCCAGCAGCUAGACUAGAGGGAGCCAGUGGAGACCACACCUCCUAAAAGGCACUUCUGUGAGAAAAAAAAAAAAGUGCUGUUUGUCCAUAGACUACUCAAGAACAAUCUACAGAGAGGAAUAUCCAAAUAGCUGAAGGACUAUGAGAAAAAUAUAAAAUGUCAUUAUUGUUAUGAUUUGGAUGUGAGGUGUCCCCCGAAAACUCACAUGUGAGACAAUGCAAGAAGGCUCAGAGGAGAAGUUAUUGGGUUAUAAGAGUCUUAACCCAAUCAGUGAAUUAAUCCCCUGAUAGGGAUUCACUGAGUGGUAAUUGAAAUGGUAGGGUAUGGCUGGAGGAGGUGGAAUUGGGGCGUGGUUUGGGGGUAUAUAUUUGUAUCUGUCAAGUGGAGUCUCUCUUUCUCUGCUUCCUCCUCAUGAUGUGAGCUAUUUCCCUCCACCACACUCUUCUACCAUGGUGUUCUGCCUCACCUGGAGGGAUGGAGCCAGCCUUCUACGGACGGAGACCUCUGAAACUGUGAACCCUUAAAUAAACCUUCUUUCCUCUACAA